rnacentral:rRNA from 1 species
CCUACGGGUGGCAGCAGUGAGGAAUAUUGGUCAAUGGGCGAGAGCCUGAACCAGCCAAGUCGCGUGAGGGAGUACUGCCCUAUGGGUUGUAAACCUCUUUUGUCGGGGAGCAAAAGCCGGACGUGUCCGGCUGUUAGAGUACCCGAAGAAAAACCAUCGGCAAACUCCGUGCAAGCAGCCGCGGUAAUACGUAGGAUGCGAUCGUUAUCCGUUUUUAUGGGUGUAAAAGGGUGCGCAGGCGGAUCUUUAAGUUAGCGGUAAAGUCGUGGGGCGAAACCCCAUCCAGCCGUUGAAACUGGGGGUCUUGAGUGUGCAAGAGGUAUGCGGAAUGCGUGGUGUAGCGGUGAAAUGCAUAGAUAUCACGAAGAACCCCGAUUGCGAAGGCAGCAUACCGGUGCACAACUGACGCUCAGGCACGAAAGCGUGGGUAUCGAACAGGAUUAGAUACCCCAGUAGUC